UACGGAGGGGGCUAGCGUUGUUCGGAAUUACUGGGCGUAAAGCGCACGUAGGCGGACUGGAAAGUCAGAGGUGAAAUCCCAGGGCUCAACCUUGGAACUGCCUUUGAAACUCCCGGUCUUGAGGUCGAGAGAGGUGAGUGGAAUUCCGAGUGUAGAGGUGAAAUUCGUAGAUAUUCGGAGGAACUCCAGUGGCGAAGGCGGCUCACUGGCUCGUUACUGACGCUGAGGUGCGAAAGCGUGGGGAGCAUACAGG
rnacentral:rRNA from 1 species